GGGAGUGUAGCUCAGUGGAAGAGCACGUGCUUGGUGAACACGAGGUCCUGGGUUCAAUCCCCAGUGCCUCUG
rnacentral:tRNA from 1 species